rnacentral:rRNA from 1 species
AAAUGCACAUGCUGUGAGCUCGAUGAGUAGGGCGGGACACGUGGUAUCCUGUCUGAAUAUGGGGGGACCAUCCUCCAAGGCUAAAUACUCCUGACUGACCGAUAGUGAACCAGUACCGUGAGGGAAAGGCGAAAAGAACCCCGGCGAGGGGAGUGAAAAAGAACCUGAAACCGUGUACGUACAAGCAGUGGGAGCACGCUUAGGCGUGUGACUGCGUACCUUUUGUAUAAUGGGUCAGCGACUUAUAUUCUGUAGCAAGGUUAACCGAAUAGGGGAGCCGAAGGGAAACCGAGUCUUAACUGGGCGUUAAGUUGCAGGGUAUAGACCCGAAACCCGGUGAUCUAGCCAUGGGCAGGUUGAAGGUUGGGUAACACUAACUGGAGGACCGAACCGACUAAUGUUGAAAAAUUAGCGGAUGACUUGUGGCUGGGGGUGAAAGGCCAAUCAAACCGGGAGAUAGCUGGUUCUCCCCGAAAGCUAUUUAGGUAGCGCCUCGUGAAUUCAUCUCCGGGGGUAGAGCACUGUUUCGGCAAGGGGGUCAUCCCGACUUACCAACCCGAUGCAAACUGCGAAUACCGGAGAAUGUUAUCACGGGAGACACACGGCGGGUGCUAACGUCCGUCGUGAAGAGGGAAACAACCCAGACCGCCAGCUAAGGUCCCAAAGUCAUGGUUAAGUGGGAAACGAUGUGGGAAGGCCCAGACAGCCAGGAUGUUGGCUUAGAAGCAGCCAUCAUUUAAAGAAAGCGUAAUAGCUCACUGGUCGAGUCGGCCUGCGCGGAAGAUGUAACGGGGCUAAACCAUGCACCGAAGCUGCGGCAGCGACGCUGAUGCGUUGUUGGGUAGGGGAGCGUUCUGUAAGCCUGUGAAGGUGUGCUGUGAGGCAUGCUGGAGGUAUCAGAAGUGCGAAUGCUGACAUAAGUAACGAUAAAGCGGGUGAAAAGCCCGCUCGCCGGAAGACCAAGGGUUCCUGUCCAACGUUAAUCGGGGCAGGGUGAGUCGACCCCUAAGGCGAGGCCGAAAGGCGUAGUCGAUGGGAAACAGGUUAAUAUUCCUGUACUUGGUGUUACUGCGAAGGGGGGACGGAGAAGGCUAUGUUGGCCGGGCGACGGUUGUCCCGGUUUAAGCGUGUAGGCUGGUUUUCCAGGCAAAUCCGGAAAAUCAAGGCUGAGGCGUGAUGACGAGGCACUACGGUGCUGAAGCAACAAAUGCCCUGCUUCCAGGAAAAGCCUCUAAGCAUCAGGUAACAUCAAAUCGUACCCCAAACCGACACAGGUGGUCAGGUAGAGAAUACCAAGGCGCUUGAGAGAACUCGGGUGAAGGAACUAGGCAAAAUGGUGCCGUAACUUCGGGAGAAGGCACGCUGAUAUGUAGGUGAAGCGACUUGCUCGUGGAGCUGAAAUCAGUCGAAGAUACCAGCUGGCUGCAACUGUUUAUUAAAAACACAGCACUGUGCAAACACGAAAGUGGACGUAUACGGUGUGACGCCUGCCCGGUGCCGGAAGGUUAAUUGAUGGGGUCAGCGCAAGCGAAGCUCUUGAUCGAAGCCCCGGUAAACGGCGGCCGUAACUAUAACGGUCCUAAGGUAGCGAAAUUCCUUGUCGGGUAAGUUCCGACCUGCACGAAUGGCGUAAUGAUGGCCAGGCUGUCUCCACCCGAGACUCAGUGAAAUUGAACUCGCUGUGAAGAUGCAGUGUACCCGCGGCAAGACGGAAAGACCCCGUGAACCUUUACUAUAGCUUGACACUGAACAUUGAGCCUUGAUGUGUAGGAUAGGUGGGAGGCUUUGAAGUGUGGACGCCAGUCUGCAUGGAGCCGGCCUUGAAAUACCACCCUUUAAUGUUUGAUGUUCUAACGUUGACCCGUGAUCCGGGUUGCGGACAGUGUCUGGUGGGUAGUUUGACUGGGGCGGUCUCCUCCUAAAGAGUAACGGAGGAGCACGAAGGUUGGCUAAUCCUGGUCGGACAUCAGGAGGUUAGUGCAAUGGCAUAAGCCAGCUUGACUGCGAGCGUGACGGCGCGAGCAGGUGCGAAAGCAGGUCAUAGUGAUCCGGUGGUUCUGAAUGGAAGGGCCAUCGCUCAACGGAUAAAAGGUACUCCGGGGAUAACAGGCUGAUACCGCCCAAGAGUUCAUAUCGACGGCGGUGUUUGGCACCUCGAUGUCGGCUCAUCACAUCCUGGGGCUGAAGUAGGUCCCAAGGGUAUGGCUGUUCGCCAUUUAAAGUGGUACGCGAGCUGGGUUUAGAACGUCGUGAGACAGUUCGGUCCCUA